GUGGUUAAGUUACUAAGGGCACACGGUGGAUGCCUUGGCGCUAGGAGCCGAAGAAGGACGCAGCGAACUGCGAUAAGCCUCGGGGAGCGGUAAGCACGCUUUGAUCCGGGGAUCUCCGAAUGGGGUAACCCACCAUCUGUAAUGGGAUGGUAUCCUUCACUGAAU
rnacentral:rRNA from 1 species